GUCAGUGUGGUGUAGUGGUUUGAAUGUUGGAUUAGGACUUUGGAGACCAAGGUUUGAUUCCAAGCUCAGCCA